rnacentral:rRNA from 1 species
UGCAGUCGAGCGGUAGCACAGAGAGCUUGCUCUCGGGUGACGAGCGGCGGACGGGUGAGUAAUGUCUGGGAAACUGCCUGAUGGAGGGGGAUAACUACUGGAAACGGUAGCUAAUACCGCAUAACGUCGCAAGACCAAAGUGGGGGACCUUCGGGCCUCAUGCCAUCAGAUGUGCCCAGAUGGGAUUAGCUAGUAGGUGGGGUAACGGCUCACCUAGGCGACGAUCCCUAGCUGGUCUGAGAGGAUGACCAGCCACACUGGAACUGAGACACGGUCCAGACUCCUACGGGAGGCAGCAGUGGGGAAUAUUGCACAAUGGGCGCAAGCCUGAUGCAGCCAUGCCGCGUGUGUGAAGAAGGCCUUCGGGUUGUAAAGCACUUUCAGCGGGGAGGAAGGCGGUGAGGUUAAUAACCUUAUCGAUUGACGUUACCCGCAGAAGAAGCACCGGCUAACUCCGUGCCAGCAGCCGCGGUAAUACGGAGGGUGCAAGCGUUAAUCGGAAUUACUGGGCGUAAAGCGCACGCAGGCGGUCUGUCAAGUCGGAUGUGAAAUCCCCGGGCUCAACCUGGGAACUGCAUUCGAAACUGGCAGGCUAGAGUCUUGUAGAGGGGGGUAGAAUUCCAGGUGUAGCGGUGAAAUGCGUAGAGAUCUGGAGGAAUACCGGUGGCGAAGGCGGCCCCCUGGACAAAGACUGACGCUCAGGUGCGAAAGCGUGGGGAGCAAACAGGAUUAGAUACCCUGGUAGUCCACGCCGUAAACGAUGUCGAUUUGGAGGUUGUGCCCUUGAGGCGUGGCUUCCGGAGCUAACGCGUUAAAUCGACCGCCUGGGGAGUACGGCCGCAAGGUUAAAACUCAAAUGAAUUGACGGGGGCCCGCACAAGCGGUGGAGCAUGUGGUUUAAUUCGAUGCAACGCGAAGAACCUUACCUGGUCUUGACAUCCACAGAACUUUCCAGAGAUGGAUUGGUGCCUUCGGGAACUGUGAGACAGGUGCUGCAUGGCUGUCGUCAGCUCGUGUUGUGAAAUGUUGGGUUAAGUCCCGCAACGAGCGCAACCCUUAUCCUUUGUUGCCAGCGGUCCGGCCGGGAACUCAAAGGAGACUGCCAGUGAUAAACUGGAGGAAGGUGGGGAUGACGUCAAGUCAUCAUGGCCCUUACGACCAGGGCUACACACGUGCUACAAUGGCAUAUACAAAGAGAAGCGACCUCGCGAGAGCAAGCGGACCUCAUAAAGUAUGUCGUAGUCCGGAUUGGAGUCUGCAACUCGACUCCAUGAAGUCGGAAUCGCUAGUAAUCGUAGAUCAGAAUGCUACGGUGAAUACGUUCCCGGGCCUUGUACACACCGCCCGUCACACCAUGGGAGUGGGUUGCAAAAGAAGUAGGUAGCUUAACCUUCGGGAGGG